rnacentral:rRNA from 1 species
AUUGAACGCUGGCGGCAGGCCUAACACAUGCAAGUCGAGCGGGGUUUUCGGACCUAGCGGCGGACGGGUGAGUAAUGCGUAGGAAGCUGCCCGAUAGAGGGGGAUACCAGUUGGAAACGACUGUUAAUACCGCAUAAUGUCUACGGACCAAAGUGUGGGACCUUCGGGCCACAUGCUAUCGGAUGCGCCUACGUGGGAUUAGCUAGUUGGUGAGGUAAUGGCUCACCCAGGCGACGAUCUCUAGCUGGUUUGAGAGGAUGAUCAGCCACACUGGAACUGAGACACGGUCCAGACUCCUACGGGAGGCAGCAGUGGGGAAUAUUGGACAAUGGGCGCAAGCCUGAUUCAGCCAUGCCGCGUGUGUGAAGAAGGCCUUCGGGUUGUAAAGCACUUUCAGCGAGGAGGAAGGGGUGUGUGUUAAUAGUACACACCUUUGACGUUACUCGCAGAAGAAGCACCGGCUAACUCUGUGCCAGCCGCCGCCGUAAUAC